AUUGAACGCUGGCGGCAGGCUUAACACAUGCAAGUCGAGCGGGGUGAUGGUGCUUGCACUAUCACUUAGCGGCGGACGGGUGAGUAAUGCUUAGGAAUCUGCCUAUUAGUGGGGGACAACAUCUCGAAAGGGAUGCUAAUACCGCAUACGUCCUACGGGAGAAAGCAGGGGAUCACUUGUGACCUUGAGCUAAUAGAUGAGCCUAAGUCGGAUUAGCUAGUUGGUGGGGUAAAGGCCUACCAAGGCGACGAUCUGUAGCGGGUAUGAGAGGAUGAUCCGCCACACUGGGACUGAGACACGGCCCAGACUCCUACGGGAGGCAGCAGUGGUGAAUAUUGGACAAUGGGGGGAACCCUGAUCCAGCCAUGCCGCGUGUGUGAAGAAGGCCUUAUGGUUGUAAAGCACUUUAAGCGAGGAGGAGGCUCUUUUGGUUAAUACCCAAGAUGAGUGGACGUUACUCGCAGAAUAAGCACCGGCUAACUCUGUGCCAGCCGCCGCCGUAA
rnacentral:rRNA from 1 species